rnacentral:lncRNA from 12 species
AUCGCGGCGGUGCCCGGCGGAGGGCGAGCGCCGUAGGUGGGUCCUGCGCCCCCGACGGCCGAGGCGCCCGGGGCUGGGCUCCCUCGGCGUUGGGCUCGGGGUCUGCCCGCCCAUUGCUCCCCAGCUCAUCCAGAGCUGUGGGGCGGGCGUCGACGGCGGGAGCUGCCCUCAGCUCCCAAUGGCCUUUUCCAGCACCGUGGCUGCUCUGGAGGUGCCGUGAGCUGGCGGGGCCUCGGUGUGUGCGGGCGCAGUGGCCAAGGUACAACCUGCUGGCGAUGGCGGCACGGCGCCCGUCGCGCAAAGGGGUGGAGGGGAGAGCGUCCUCAGUGUGCCCAAAGAGAGACCUGCGUGAGGGAAGAGCAGGAAGAUCCGAGUACCUGGUGGCAGGAAAGCACCUGUGAGGCCAGGAGCCAUCCAGAAUGGGAAGGCCAACAGGCGUGAAAUGAAGGGAAAAGACAGAAGCCCAGAGAACGCCAGCCCAGGGUAGCCAACACCCUUGGCUGUGUGGAUCUUGGCUGAGAUGGUGAGGAGUGCUGCAACCCAAGUGUGAUUCCACCGCCAGCUCCAUCAAUGCUUCAUACUGAGAAUGGAGACAGCCAACUUGAAAAGUGGUGACAGAGAUGGUGUGGAAACACCUGAGAUCCUGCCUCUGUUGCUGGCCUUAACUGUAGGUAGAGUUCACCAAAUCCAAAGAAUUCUGAAGUGCUUCUUCUUCAGUUUGCUGUCCUGGAUGCUUCGCAUUCCCUAUGUCCUGCAGGAAAGGAGUGUCCUUUUUUUGUUGUUGUUUCCCUCCUCAGCUCCCAUCCACCCCACAGAACCAAGUGUUGCUCACUGGAAUUCACCUUGCUGAAGAGCACGACUUUUCAAGGCUCCUGGACUGCUGCACAAACACAGGCUGCUUGUGUUGUUUUGGCUAACAGCUCAAGUAUCCUAGCAAGUCCUACUUAAUAAGAUACCUGAUAAGGCUUGAUUGUGCUUCACUAUGUUUGAAUUUCUUGGGGAGCUGUUUAGAUGAUGAAAGUGCUCCAGUGCCUGCAUUUGUGUAAAACUCCAGAAUUAUAAAACACAGCUUUUAGUGUCUCUUAAAGUCUCAGAUGAUUGAAAUACCAAAAGGAUUUGCAUAUUGAAGUAUUUUACUUAGUAUCUCAAUAUUGGCAUAGAUGAUACAUUGUGUAAAUAAUAUCUGUUAAUGCUUUGCUUUAUGUGUUCCAUUUUGUUGGUGUGACUGUUAAAUAAAAUAGUCAGAAAGCAAUUCCACGGUUCCUUGCAGUAUCAGAACCUAUAGAAGGAAAAGGUCAUGUGUAGAUCAUCUAGUUUUUAUCUUGACGACAG